rnacentral:tRNA from 1 species
GCAUCCAUGGCUGAAUGGUUAAGGCGCCCAACUCAUAAUUGGCUAAUUUGUGGGUUCAAUUCCUACUGGAUGCA